GCGGCGGACGGGUGAGUAACACGUGGGCAACCUGCCUGUAAGACUGGGAUAACUUCGGGAAACCGAAGCUAAUACCGGAUAGGAUCUUCUCCUUCAUGGGAGAUGAUUGAAAGAUGGUUUCGGCUAUCACUUACAGAUGGGCCCGCGGUGCAUUAGCUAGUUGGUGAGGUAACGGCUCACCAAGGCAACGAUGCAUAGCCGACCUGAGAGGGUGAUCGGCCACACUGGGACUGAGACACGGCCCAGACUCCUACGGGAGGCAGCAGUAGGGAAUCUUCCGCAAUGGACGAAAGUCUGACGGAGCAACGCCGCGUGAGUGAUGAAGGCUUUCGGGUCGUAAAACUCUGUUGUUAGGGAAGAACAAGUACAAGAGUAACUGCUUGUACCUUGACGGUACCUAACCAGAAAGCCACGGCUAACUACGUGCCAGCAGCCGCGGUAAUACGUAGGUGGCAAGCGUUAUCCGGAAUUAUUGGGCGUAAAGCGCGCGCAGGCGGUUUCUUAAGUCUGAUGUGAAAGCCCACGGCUCAACCGUGGAGGGUCAUUGGAAACUGGGAACUUGAGUGCAGAGAGAAAAGCGGA
rnacentral:rRNA from 2 species